GAGGAUAGGGGCUGGACUUCCCCAGCCUCUCUCCUACUCCGAAAGGCUCACACUCUUUGUGACUUACUGUUUGACUUUACAAGCUCCUUGGCUUUUAUGAGGGUUAUUUAUAAAGCUCUGGGCUUUGAUCCUCAGCAUGAAAAAAGCCAACUCCUGUGUCUGAAAAUGUCACAGGGAUUAGGGGAGCCUUUGAAGUCCCCUCCUGGCAGUCGGCGCCUGCCCAGCUUCCCCUCCAAAGGGGCUCCAAGCCUGGAAGCCCUGGCCAGGGCCUAGGGGCCUUCCUCUGGGGUGGAAGUGUCCUCAGUCCAGGUCACUGAAGAUCUUUGUCAUCUUCCCACUGACCUGGUGGGGCCCAGCAAAGGGAUGAGAAGUGAUGAUAAGCCUAGAGACCUAGGGCCAUUGUGGGGAAUCCAGGGAGUAAAGAGACUUAGAUCUCAGCGACAAUUCCAGCUCCAUCACUUUUUCCUGCUGGGGGACUUUGUCCAAGUUUCUUGACUUCUCUGGUCUUCAGUUUCUUCCUUUGAAUAAUGGGGAGAAAUAAUAAUACCUACCACAUAGACUGUUGUGAGGAUGAAGGAGCAUGCAAAGUGCCUGGCAUGAGUUAGGGUAUAAUAAAUGGUCACUAUUUUCACUGCCUCUGUCAGCAGUGACCAAUUAUCUCGAGCCCUAACUCUGGAAACUUGUGGGUAACAGAAGUGGGGGAUAGUCUUUCUACUAAAAAAGAAAAGUAUCAAAACAAGAAGUCAGAGGCCAGGCACAGUGGCUCAUGCCUGUAACCCCAGCACUUUGGGAGGCCGAGGCGGGCAGAUCACCUGAGGUCAGGAGUUCGAGACCAGCCUGGCCAACAUGGCAAAACCCCGUCUGUACUAAAAAUAUAAAAAUGAGCCAGACCUGUAGUCUGGCUACACCUGUAGCCAGAUGUACACCUGUAGUCCCAGCUACUCAGGAGGCUGAGGUAGGAGAAUUGCUUGAACCUGGAAGAUGGAGGUUGCAGUAAGCCGAGAUCACACAACUACAUUCCAUUCUGAGUGACAGAGCAAGACUCCAUCUCAAAACAACAACAACAACAAAAACCUGGAAGUCAACAUCUACCAACCCAUUCACCUUCCAAUCUACCAAUUCAUCCAUCCAUCCUUCUGUCUGUCCAUCCAUCCAUCCAUUUAUCUACCUGCCAACCCAUCUAUGUAUCCACCCAUCCACCUAUCAACUCAUUUAUCCAUCCAUUCAUUCACCACCAACCCAACUAUUUAUCCAUUCAUCCACCUACCAACCCAACUAUUUAUCCAUUCAUCCACCUACCAACUCACCCAUUCAUCCAUCCAUCUAUCAACCACAAAUCCUUCUGUCUGUUCAUCUUUCCAUGUUUCUAUCUAGCCAUUUACAUAACCAUCCACUUACCCAUCCAUCCAUCCAUCCAUCCAUCCAUCCAUCCAUCCAUCCAUCCAUCCAUUCACCCUUUCACUCACCCUUCCAUCCAUCUAUCUAUCCUUCCACCUAUCUAACUGCUUUUCCUUGGCACCUUCUCGGUACUAAUUUCUGGAGAGGAAGAGGAGGAUAAAACAUAAUCUUUGCUCUUAAGAGCUCCUGGUUUGAUGAUUUUCUCCUAUGCGUCCUUUACCUGUCCCUCCUCCCCUGCCCCCAGAACAGGGUUCCAGGAAAAAAAAAUGAGGGAAAUGUUGCCUAUUAGACCUUCCUCUAAGUGAUUCACUACUCACAUUAUUGGCCCAUUAAAAGAUUUGGGCCAGGCAUGGUGGCUCACACCUAUAAUUUCAGCUCUUUGGGAGGCCAAGACUGGAUGAUCAAUUGGGGCCAGGAGUUCAAGACCAACAAGACCACCCGCUCAUCUCUGAAAAACAAAAACAAAACAAAACAAAAAACAACUAGCUGGGGAUGGUGGUGCAUGCCUGUAGUCUUAGCUACUUGAGAGCUGAGGCAGGAGGAUUCCUUGAGCCUGGGAGGUCAAUGCUGCAGUGAGCUCUGAUUGC
rnacentral:lncRNA from 10 species